AAACAUGAGAGUUUGAUCCUGGCUCAGAACGAACGCUGGCGGCCGGCCUAACACAUGCAAGUCGAACGGCCCUUCGGGGCAGUGGCGCACGGGUGCGUAACGCGUGGGAAUGUACAUCUCGGU
rnacentral:rRNA from 1 species